GGGUGCGAUCAUACCAACACUAAUGCACCGGAUCGCAUCAGAACUCUGCAGUUAAACGUGCUUGGGGGAGAGUAGUACUAGGAUGGGUGACCUCCUGGGAAGUCCUUGUGUUGCACCCUUCC
rnacentral:rRNA from 1 species